rnacentral:misc_RNA from 1 species
CUGCAGCCCGACUUGAACGGAGCUCUUUUUUUCAUUGCGAAUAUUGUCAAGUUCUAUUUAUUGACUCACGUCAAUCGCAAUGAAAAAAAAGCGGGAGUGGAAGGCGGAAAUAGC